AGAGUUUGAUCCUGGCUCAGGAUGAACGCUGGCGGCGUGCUUAACACAUGCAAGUCGAACGAACCUUCGGGUUAGUGGCGGACGGGUGAGUAACGCGUGGGAAUCUGCCCUCAGGAGGGGGAUAACGGCUGGAAACGGCCGCUAAUACCCCAUAUGCCGAGAGGUGAAAUGAAUUUCGCCUGAGGAUGAGCCCGCGUCUGAUUAGCUUGUUGGUGGGGUAAUGGCUCACCAAGGCUUCGAUCAGUAGCUGGUCUGAGAGGAUGAUCAGCCACACUGGGACUGAGACACGGCCCAGACUCCUACGGGAGGCAGCAGUGGGGAAUUUUCCGCAAUGGGCGAAAGCCUGACGGAGCAACGCCGCGUGAGGGAUGAAGGCCUCUGGGCUGUAAACCUCUUUUCUCAAGGAAGAAGAUCUGACGGUACUUGAGGAAUAAGCCACGGCUAAUUCCGUGCCAGCAGCCGCGGUAAUACGGGAGUGGCAAGCGUUAUCCGGAAUUAUUGGGCGUAAAGCGUCCGCAGGCGGCCUUUCAAGUCUGCUGUUAAAACGUGGAGCUUAACUCCAUCAAGGCAGUGGAAACUGUUGGGCUUGAGUGUGGUAGGGGCAGAGGGAAUUCCCGGUGUAGCGGUGAAAUGCGUAGAUAUCGGGAAGAACACCAGUGGCGAAGGCGCUCUGCUGGGCCAUAACUGACGCUCAUGGACGAAAGCCAGGGGAGCGAAAGGGAUUAGAUACCCCUGUAGUCCUGGCCGUAAACGAUGAACACUAGGUGUCGGGGGAAUCGACCCCCUCGGUGUCGUAGCCAACGCGUUAAGUGUUCCGCCUGGGGAGUACGCACGCAAGUGUGAAACUCAAAGGAAUUGACGGGGGCCCGCACAAGCGGUGGAGUAUGUGGUUUAAUUCGAUGCAACGCGAAGAACCUUACCAGGGUUUGACAUCCUGCGAACCUCUAAGAAAUUGGAGGGUGCCUUCGGGAACGCAGUGACAGGUGGUGCAUGGCUGUCGUCAGCUCGUGUCGUGAGAUGUUGGGUUAAGUCCCGCAACGAGCGCAACCCACGUUUUUAGUUGCCAGCAUUCAGUUGGGCACUCUAGAGAGACCGCCGGUGAUAAACCGGAGGAAGGUGUGGAUGACGUCAAGUCAUCAUGCCCCUUACAUCCUGGGCUACACACGUACUACAAUGCUACGGACAAAGGGCAGCAAACUCGCGAGGGCAAGCAAAUCCCAUAAACCGUGGCUCAGUUCAGAUCGUAGGCUGCAACUCGCCUACGUGAAGGAGGAAUCGCUAGUAAUCGCAGGUCAGCAUACUGCGGUGAAUACGUUCCCGGGCCUUGUACACACCGCCCGUCACACCAUGGAAGUUGGCCACGCCCGAAGUCGUUACUCCAACCCUUGUGGAGGAGGACGCCGAAGGUGGGGCUGAUGACUGGGGUGAAGUCGUAACAAGGUAGCCGUACCGGAAGGUGCGGCUG
rnacentral:rRNA from 1 species